AUACUUACCUGGCAUGGGGAGAUACCAUGAUCAGGAAAGUAGUUUUCCCAGGGCAAGGCUCACCCAUUGCACUUGGGAUGUGCAGACCCCUGUGAUUUCCCCAAGUUCGGGGAAACUCGAUUGCAUAACUUGGGGUAGUGGAAGACUGCGUCCCCACUCUCCCCUG
ensembl:snRNA Gm24136 U1 spliceosomal RNA